rnacentral:rRNA from 1 species
GACGAACGCUGGCGGCGCGCCUAACACAUGCAAGUCGAACGAGCGAGAGGAGGUUUACUUUCUCAAGCGAGUGGCGAACGGGUGAGUAACGCGUGAGGAACCUGCCUCAAAGAGGGGGACAACAGUUGGAAACGACUGCUAACACCGCAUAAGCCCACGACCCGGCAUCGGGUAGAGGGAAAAGGAGCAAUCCGCUUUGAGAUGGCCUCGCGUCCGAUUAGCUAGUUGGUGAGGUAAUGGCCCACCAAGGCGACGAUCGGUAGCCGGACUGAGAGGUUGAACGGCCACAUUGGGACUGAGACACGGCCCAGACUCCUACGGGAGGCAGCAGGGGGGAAUAUUGCACAAUGGGGGAAACCCUGAUGCAGCGACGCCGCGUGGAGGAAGAAGGUCUUCGGAUUGUAAACUCCUGUUGUUGAGGAAGAUAAUGACGGUACUCAACAAGGAAGUGACGGCUAACUACGU